GCCUGGGUGGCUCAGUCUGUUGGGCACCUGAUUUCGGCUCAGGUCAUGAUCUUGUGGCUCGUGGGUUCGAGCCCACAUUGGGCU
rnacentral:tRNA from 1 species